UACGGAGGAUGCGAGCGUUAUCCGGAUUUAUUGGGUUUAAAGGGCGCGUAGGCGGGAUGGCAAGUCAGAUGUGAAAUCCAGGGGCUCAACCCCUGAACUGCAUUUGAAACUGUCGUUCUUGAGUACUGGAGAGGUUGACGGAAUUCCUAGUGUAGCGGUGAAAUGCGUAGAUAUUAGGAGGAACACCAGUGGCGAAGGCGGUCAACUGGACAGCAACUGACGCUGAGGCGCGAAAGCGUGGGGAGCAAACAGG
rnacentral:rRNA from 1 species